ACACAUGAUUAUGGACCACAAUUAUACGGUGUUUCGUUAAGAUUACGAGUUUGAGUGGCAGAUGAAAACUUUGAUUUAUUGUUUAGAAAUAUUGAUGAAGACGAUUGUAAAAUGAUCGGGAAUGAGCACUUUGCAUUACUGUGGCUUCAUUACAUAUGGUAGAAGAGUUACUUAAUGAAUCCGUUGGGGAACAGUGAGGGCUGACAAAUGUGUUACUCGCAUAACCCCUCGAUCAAUCCUGUGGGAGCCGGGCCCCCGGCCGCGACACAUCGCCGGCCGCCGCUCCAUUACACACGACAAGUAAAAACGACUCUACGCGUUCUGCUGGUCAGCUCUACGUUGAGGUCGGCCUAGUGUGGACAUCCCUCAAACUAUUUUAUAUUUUAUAAACUUUUUUUUAUUGCUUAUGUGGUUGGACGAGCACACAACCCACCUGGUGUUACGUGGUUACUGGAGCCCAUAGACAUCUACAACGCAAAUGCGCCACCCACCUUGAGAUAUAAGUUUUAAGGUCUCAGUAUAGUUACAACGCCUACCUUACCCUUCAAGCCAAAACACAUUAGGUACUGCUUCACGGCAGAACUAGGCGGGGUGGUGGUACCUACGCGCGUGGACUUACAAGAGGUCCUACCACCAGUUGUUAAUGUUACGUAUUCUUAUUAAAAUACUUUAUUUUACUAUUUUCAGGUUUAUUUAUUUAUUUAAACACACCAACAGCAAUACACACAAAACAUUCAAGCUUAAAAUUAACAAUAUGGAUAAAAUUAAGUACGCCAGUAACAGGCAUGUACAGUAACCCCUUAUAACACACACUAUGACAUGUUACAGCAAUUUUACAAAAAGCGGAAAAAAUAGUUAAAUUUAAAUGUUAACAGUACAACAUAAAAAAAAAAAAAUUUAAAAAGAAAAUAAUAACAAGAGUAAACUACUUAACAUUCUCUCAUCAAUUAUAAACAAAGAAACUAGUUGGAUUCUAUUGAAUACAUAAUAUAUAAGUAAUGAUAUGGAGUAGGUAUUUUAGAAUGAAUAAACAAUAAAAGAUAUGAUUGUGUUUUCUGUGAUAUAAUGCAGAAAACAACAUUUAAAGCCAUGUCUUUUAAAAUAAAAUUAAAAAAUUAAGCAGUAAACAGUAUUAAUAAACUAUACCAAAUUGAA